rnacentral:rRNA from 1 species
UACGUAGGCAGCGAGCGUUGUUCGGAGUUACUGGGCGUAAAGGGUGUGUAGGCGACCUAUUAAGUUUGGUGUGAAAUCUCCCGGCUCAACCGGGAGGGUGCGCCGAAAACUGGGAGGCUAGAGUGCGGGAUGGGAGAGUGGAAUUCCUGGUGUAGCGGUGAAAUGCGUAGAUAUCAGGAGGAACACCGGUGGUGCAGACGGCUCUCUGGACCGUAACUGACGCUGAGACACGAAAGCGUGGGUAGCAAACAGG